CGGCGGACGGGUGAGUAACGCGUGGGUAACCUGCCUCAUACAGGGGGAUAACAGUUGGAAACGGCUGCUAAUACCGCAUAAGCGCACAGUACCGCAUGGUACGGUGUGAAAAACUCCGGUGGUAUGAGAUGGACCCGCGUCUGAUUAGCUUGUUGGCGGGGUAACGGCCCACCAAGGCGACGAUCAGUAGCCGACCUGAGAGGGUGACCGGCCACAUUGGGACUGAGACACGGCCCAG
rnacentral:rRNA from 1 species